rnacentral:rRNA from 1 species
GGGUUGUGAGGUUAAGCGACUAAGCGUACACGGUGGAUGCCCUGGCAGUCAGAGGCGAUGAAGGGCGUGCUAAUCUGCGAUAAGCGCCGGUAAGGUGAUAUGAACCGUUAUAACCGGCGAUACCCGAAUGGGGAAACCCAGUGUGACUCGUCACACUAUCAUUAACUGAAUCCAUAGGUUAAUGAGGCGAACCGGGGGAACUGAAACAUCUAAGUACCCCGAGGAAAAGAAAUCAACCGAGAUUCCCCCAGUAGCGGCGAGCGAACGGGGAGGAGCCCAGAGCCUGAAUCAGCAUGUGUGUUAGUGGAAGCGUCUGGAAAGGCGCGCGAUACAGGGUGACAGCCCCGUACACAAAAGCGCAUGUGCUGUGAGCUCGAUGAGUAGGGCGGGACACGUGGUAUCCUGUCUGAAUAUGGGGGGACCAUCCUCCAAGGCUAAAUACUCCUGACUGACCGAUAGUGAACCAGUACCGUGAGGGAAAGGCGAAAAGAACCCCGGCGAGGGGAGUGAAAAAGAACCUGAAACCGUGUACGUACAAGCAGUGGGAGCACCCUUCGGGGUGUGACUGCGUACCUUUUGUAUAAUGGGUCAGCGACUUAUAUUCUGUAGCAAGGUUAACCGAAUAGGGGAGCCGGAGGGAAACCGAGUCUUAAUUGGGCGUUAAGUUGCAGGGUAUAGACCCGAAACCCGGUGAUCUAGCCAUGGGCAGGUUGAAGGUUGGGUAACACUAACUGGAGGACCGAACCGACUAAUGUUGAAAAAUUAGCGGAUGACCUGUGGCUGGGGGUGAAAGGCCAAUCAAACCGGGAGAUAGCUGGUUCUCCCCGAAAGCUAUUUAGGUAGCGCCUCGUGAAUUCAUCUCCGGGGGUAGAGCACUGUUUCGGCUAGGGGGCCAUCCCGGCUUACCAACCCGAUGCAAACUGCGAAUACCGGAGAAUGUUAUCACGGGAGACACACGGCGGGUGCUAACGUCCGUCGUGAAGAGGGAAACAACCCAGACCGCCAGCUAAGGUCCCAAAGUCAUGGUUAAGUGGGAAACGAUGUGGGAAGGCCCAGACAGCCAGGAUGUUGGCUUAGAAGCAGCCAUCAUUUAAAGAAAGCGUAAUAGCUCACUGGUCGAGUCGGCCUGCGCGGAAGAUGUAACGGGGCUAAACCAUGCACCGAAGCUGCGGCAGCGACACUGUGUGUUGUUGGGUAGGGGAGCGUUCUGUAAGCCUGCGAAGGUGGCCUGUGAGGGUUGCUGGAGGUAUCAGAAGUGCGAAUGCUGACAUAAGUAACGAUAAAGCGGGUGAAAAGCCCGCUCGCCGGAAGACCAAGGGUUCCUGUCCAACGUUAAUCGGGGCAGGGUGAGUCGACCCCUAAGGCGAGGCCGAAAGGCGUAGUCGAUGGGAAACGGGUUAAUAUUCCCGUACUUGGUGUUACUGCGAAGGGGGGACGGAGAAGGCUAUGUUGGCCGGGCGACGGUUGUCCCGGUUUAAGCGUGUAGGUGUGUGUUCCAGGUAAAUCCGGUUCACUUUAACACUGAGGCGUGACGACGAGGCACUACGGUGCUGAAGCAACAAAUGCCCUGCUUCCAGGAAAAGCCUCUAAGCAUCAGGUAACAUCAAAUCGUACCCCAAACCGACACAGGUGGUCAGGUAGAGAAUACCAAGGCGCUUGAGAGAACUCGGGUGAAGGAACUAGGCAAAAUGGUGCCGUAACUUCGGGAGAAGGCACGCUGACACGUAGGUGAAGUGAUUUACUCAUGGAGCUGAAGUCAGUCGAAGAUACCAGCUGGCUGCAACUGUUUAUUAAAAACACAGCACUGUGCAAACACGAAAGUGGACGUAUACGGUGUGACGCCUGCCCGGUGCCGGAAGGUUAAUUGAUGGGGUCAGCGCAAGCGAAGCUCCUGAUCGAAGCCCCGGUAAACGGCGGCCGUAACUAUAACGGUCCUAAGGUAGCGAAAUUCCUUGUCGGGUAAGUUCCGACCUGCACGAAUGGCGUAAUGAUGGCCAGGCUGUCUCCACCCGAGACUCAGUGAAAUUGAACUCGCUGUGAAGAUGCAGUGUACCCGCGGCAAGACGGAAAGACCCCGUGAACCUUUACUAUAGCUUGACACUGAACAUUGAGCCUUGAUGUGUAGGAUAGGUGGGAGGCUUUGAAGCGUGGACGCCAGUCUGCGUGGAGCCGACCUUGAAAUACCACCCUUUAAUGUUUGAUGUUCUAACGUGGACCCGUAAUCCGGGUUGCGGACAGUGUCUGGUGGGUAGUUUGACUGGGGCGGUCUCCUCCUAAAGAGUAACGGAGGAGCACGAAGGUUGGCUAAUCCUGGUCGGACAUCAGGAGGUUAGUGCAAUGGCAUAAGCCAGCUUGACUGCGAGCGUGACGGCGCGAGCAGGUGCGAAAGCAGGUCAUAGUGAUCCGGUGGUUCUGAAUGGAAGGGCCAUCGCUCAACGGAUAAAAGGUACUCCGGGGAUAACAGGCUGAUACCGCCCAAGAGUUCAUAUCGACGGCGGUGUUUGGCACCUCGAUGUCGGCUCAUCACAUCCUGGGGCUGAAGUAGGUCCCAAGGGUAUGGCUGUUCGCCAUUUAAAGUGGUACGCGAGCUGGGUUUAGAACGUCGUGAGACAGUUCGGUCCCUAUCUGCCGUGGGCGCUGGAGAACUGAGGGGGGCUGCUCCUAGUACGAGAGGACCGGAGUGGACGCAUCACUGGUGUUCGGGUUGUCAUGCCAAUGGCACUGCCCGGUAGCUAAAUGCGGAAGAGAUAAGUGCUGAAAGCAUCUAAGCACGAAACUUGCCCCGAGAUGAGUUCUCCCUGAGACUUAGAGUCUCCUGAAGGAACGUUGAAGACGACGACGUUGAUAGGCCGGGUGUGUAAGCGCAGCGAUGCGUUGAGCUAACCGGUACUAAUGAACCGUGAGGCUUAACCUUACAACGCCGAAG